UUCCUUUGCUUGCUCUUUUCCUAUUUACUUUUCGCUCUAAGGAUUGGAUGAGUUUCCUAAUGGAUUAGGCAUGUUGCAAUUUGGUAAUCCUGUAGAAAAGGUUUAUGUUUUCGGUAUGUUAAGAUUGAACUGUAGAAGAUUUGAACAUAUUGACAGAAGUGCAUGCGAAUUUGACCAUUUUGCCGACUUAGUGCGUUUGAUUAUGAGUGUUAGACUGUGAUGAUGCGGAGCCGAUCACCUUCUUCUGUCUCGAAUCAAGUACCUGUAAAAAGGGUGGGGACUUGCUCCCCGUGAUCCCUCCGACGCUCAAGUCAGUUCAUAGGGUUUUUUAGGAGUAUAAUAGUAAUGGAAAAAUAAUAUAUGAGUCCCUUAGAAGUCAGAUCCUAUACCUGUAGAGCCUGUCCUCUAUUUAUAGAUGUCCGUUAGCCUUUCCCUUAGGAGAUAAGAUAUAUUUCAAAAAGAGAUGUUGAUCCCCUUUCCAUGGGGAGAAAAGAUAAUCUUCCCUAAUAGAGAUAAUUCUUGAGAUAUUUAAAGAUAUCAUUGGUUGACUUAAUCUUCUUCUUUAUCUCUUUCCAGUUCAAAAUCAUAAUAAAGAUUAUAAAGAUAAGCGGAGCUCCUAAGUCUUGACACGUGGCGAUCGCAUAUUGGCCUUUACUGGCACACAUGGCUCCGAGUUAAUGGUAACCUCCCAGGGGUAGUACAGUAAAAUUGCCCCCUGUAAAUAUUCCCUCAUCAGACUGUAACUACUAUUUAACAUCCAACAUCUUCUGGUCGGCGAAGUUCCAUUCUGUUUAUUGAUAAGAGCGUUCCAGACUUGGUUGUUAGCUUCACAUUAAAGAGUGUGAUGGUUUAAAACAAAGCAGUGUGAUUUUAGCCUGCUUGGCUAUCAAAUUACUUGCGGCUCCUUACCUGGCAAGUGACAGUUGACAUUUUUCGGCUGUAUUUCAGGGUUCACCUUGUAAAUUAGCAUCUUUGAUAUGAUGAUUUAUUGUAUGACUUGAUCAUAAUUAUUUUAGCAAGUAAACAUUAUUUAG